ACGAACGCUGGCGGCGUGCUUAACACAUGCAAGUCGAACGGUGAACUCUCCUUCGGGAGGGGGAUCAGUGGCGAACGGGUGAGUAACACGUGACCAACCUGCCCCUUGCUCUGGGAUAACCCCGGGAAACCGGAGCUAAUACCGGAUACGAGACCGUGCGGCAUCACACGGUCUGGAAAGUUUUUCGGCGAGGGAUGGGGUCGCGGCCUAUCAGCUUGUUGGUGGGGUAAUGGCCUACCAAGGCGACGACGGGUAGCCGGCUUGAGAGGGCGACCGGCCACACUGGGACUGAGACACGGCCCAGACUCCUACGGGAGGCAGCAGUGGGGAAUAUUGCGCAAUGGGCGAAAGCCUGACGCAGCGACGCCGCGUGAGGGAUGACGGCCUUCGGGUUGUAAACCUCUUUCAGCAGGGAAGAAGCGAAAGUGACGGUACCUGCAGAAGAAGCACCGGCUAACUACGU
rnacentral:rRNA from 1 species